GCGUCCGUAGUUCAGUGGUAGAAUACUCGCCUGCCACGCGGGUGACCCGGGUUCGAUUCCCGGCUGACGCA
rnacentral:tRNA from 1 species